CUACAUUAAAGUUACUUGUCAUUUUCCACAUAUAUUUUUACUAAACUUUCAUUAUUUUUGUUGAAUGCAGCAGUAGAGAAUAUUUUGUUGCUUCAAUAUAAUAUAAAGUUAUUAGUAACUAAAAGAUCAUAAUCUUAGAAGAAGAAGAAAUACAAAGGGGAAAAUGGCAACUACUACAAAGAAGAAACCAGAGAAAACAAUUCCUGGCUUAGUGGAUUUGGUGUUUUCUUGGUCUUUAAAGGAUGUAUUGAACAAAGAUCUUUACAAUUCAUUUGUCGUCUAUUCUAUUUUAAAAAUAUAUGGAAAAUGGCAUUGACAACUACUACAAGAAAGAAAACAGAGAAAAAAAGCCCCCCAGGAUUGAUAGAUUUUGUGUUUUCUUGGUCUUUAGGGGAUGUGUUGAACAAAGAUCUUUACAAAGACAAGGUUUGAAUAUUUCUUCUUCUUGGAAGUAU